GACGAAUGCUGGCGGCGUGCUUAACACAUGCAAGUCGAACGGAAAGGCCCUGCUUGCAGGGUGCUCGAGUGGCGAACGGGUGAGUAACACGUGGGUGAUCUGCCCCUUACUUUGGGAUAAGCCUGGGAAACUGGGUCUAAUACUGGAUAGGACCAUGCUGUAGGUGGUGUGGUGGAAAGAUUAGUUUCGGUAAGGGAUGAGCUCGCGGCCUAUCAGCUUGUUGGUGGGGUAAUGGCCUACCAAGGCGUCGACGGGUAGCCGGCCUGAGUGGGUGGACGGCCACAUUGGGACUGAGAUACGGCCCAGACUCCUACGGGAGGCAGCAGUGGGGAAUAUUGCACAAUGGGCGCAAGCCUGAUGCAGCGACGCCGCGUGGGGGAUGACGGCCUUCGGGUUGUAAACUCCUUUCAGCCAUGACGAAGCCCUUGUGGUGACGGUAGUGGUAGAAGAAGCACCGGCUAACUACGUG
rnacentral:rRNA from 1 species